CAGUAGCCGCGGUAAUACGUAGGGUGCAAGCGUUAAUCGGAAUUACUGGGCGUAAAGCGUGCGCAGGCGGUUAUAUAAGACAGAUGUGAAAUCCCCGGGCUCAACCUGGGAACUGCAUUUGUGACUGUAUAGCUAGAGUACGGCAGAGGGGGAUGGAAUUCCGCGUGUAGCAGUGAAAUGCGUAGAUAUGCGGAGGAACACCGAUGGCGAAGGCAAUCCCCUGGGCCUGUACUGACGCUCAGGUGCGAAAGCGUGGGGAGCAAACAGGAUUAGAUACCCCAGUAGUCCCUGUCUCUUAUAC
rnacentral:rRNA from 1 species